rnacentral:rRNA from 1 species
GAUGAACGCUGGCGGCGUGCCUAAUACAUGCAAGUCGAGCGAACAGACGAGGAGCUUGCUCCUCUGACGUUAGCGGCGGACGGGUGAGUAACACGUGGAUAACCUACCUAUAAGACUGGGAUAACUUCGGGAAACCGGAGCUAAUACCGGAUAAUAUAUUGAACCGCAUGGUUCAAUAGUGAAAGACGGUUUUGCUGUCACUUAUAGAUGGAUCCGCGCCGCAUUAGCUAGUUGGUAAGGUAACGGCUUACCAAGGCAACGAUGCGUAGCCGACCUGAGAGGGUGAUCGGCCACACUGGGACAUAGACACGGUCCAGACUCCUACGGGAAGCAGCAGUAGGGAAUCUUCCGCAAUGGGCGAAAGCUUGACGGAGCAACGCCGCGUGAGUGAUGAAGGUCUUCGGAUCGUAAAACUCUGUUAUUAGGGAAGAACAAAUGUGUAAGUAACUAUGCACGUCUUGACGGUACCUAAUCAGAAAGCCACGGCUAACUACGUG